GCGCCCGUAGCUCAGUUGGAUAGAGCGUCUGCCUUCUAAGCAGGGGGUCGCGAGUUCGAGUCUCGCCGGGCGCGCCA
rnacentral:tRNA from 1 species